GACGAACGCUGGCGGCGUGCUUAACACAUGCAAGUCGAACGGAAAGGCCCUGCUUUUGUGAGGUGCUCGAGUGGCGAACGGGUGAGUAACGCGUGAGUAACCUGCCCUUGACUUUGGGAUAACUUCAGGAAACUGGGGCUAAUACCGGAUAGGAGCUCCUGCUGCAUGGUGGGGGUUGGAAAGUUUCGGCGGUUGGGGAUGGACUCGCGGCUUAUCAGCUUGUUGGUGGGGUAGUGGCUUACCAAGGCUUUGACGGGUAGCCGGCCUGAGAGGGUGACCGGCCACAUUGGGACUGGGAUACGGCCCAGACUCCUACGGGAGGCAGCAGUGGGGAAUAUUGCACAAUGGGCGGAAGCCUGAUGCAGCAACGCCGCGUGCGGGAUGACGGCCUUCGGGUUGUAAACCGCUUUCGCCUGUGACGAAGCGUGAGUGACGGUAAUGGGUAAAGAAGCACCGGCUAACUACGUG
rnacentral:rRNA from 1 species